GAUAAAAUUUUAUUAAAAUAUUUUUAACAAAAUAGGGAUCUAGUAAAGUUUAUUGAAUUAGAAGUAACACCUAUAGAUUGGACUGUGAAGGUUAUUUGAAUUAAAAAAAUAAAAAAUUAAUAAAGAAAGUUUUAGGCUUUACCUUUUGUAUUAUGGAGGACUUAAUUAAUAAAGGAUUUUCUUUGUUAACGAAACAAUAUGAGCUAUUUUUUUCCCCAUGUUUGAUGGUAAAGUCUAACUGUAAAAGAAGUAAGGCUAGAGGAAAGAAUAGUAGUGAAAUGCUUAUCGAAUAUUGUGAUAGCUUUUUUCUUGAUAAAUUAGUGUUAGCUAAAUUGGAUCUUUUUCUUUGGAGAACUUAUUGGUUGAUCAGUAAGUUCUUGGAGGGAAAACCUUGUUAUUAGAGGAAAGACAAUAAAUUUAAAUUAUAGGUUUGAGAAGUAGGAUUUGAGCAUUUUUCUAUAAAGAGGGCGUUUGAGCUCCUCAAACAGAUUUUUAUAAAUUUUUGGGAUAAUUCUAUGCUCGUGAUUUAAAUACCAAGAUGUUGAUUUCUGUCAAAUAAUUAUGGUUCUAUGAGUAAAAUUUCUUAGUCUUAUGAAAUAAAGAAAAUCUGGUGAAGUUUGUUGAGAUUACAAAAAGUUGUUCUUAUUUUAGAUGAGAAAUUUAUUAAAAUAUAUGGAAAGGAACUCGGCAAAAUUUCUCUCGCCUGUUUACCUAAAACAUCGCCCCCAGAUAAUAAUUGAGGGGUUUUGCCUGCCCAGUGAUAAUUUUUAUUUAACGGCUGCGGUACUCUGACCGUACAAAGGUAGCAUAAUCAUUUGCCUAUUAAUUGUAGGCUGGAAUCAAUGGCUUGACGAGGAGAAAACUGUCUUUCUUUAUAUUAUUUGAAUUUAGUUUUUUGGUGAAGAAACCAAAAUUUUGAAAUGGGACGAGAAGACCCUAUUGAGCUUUAGUUUUAAUUAUAAUUAAUUAUAAGAAUGAGCUUUGGUUGGGGCAACUAAUCUUAUAUUAAGACAAGGUUAAUAAUAAAAGAUUUAAAUCUAUAAAGUUGACCCAUAAUUUUGUGGAAAAUAGAAAAAGUUACCAUAGGGAUAACAGCGUAAUUUUCUUUGAGAGUACAUAUUGACAAGAAAGUUUGCGACCUCGAUGUUGGAUCAAGAUAUCCUGGAGGUGUAGCCGUUUCCAAAGGUGGGUUUGUUCAACCUAUAAAAUCUUACGCGAUCUGAGUUCAGUCCGUCGUGAGACAGGACAGUUUCUAUCUAUUAUUAUAUUCCUUUUUGUACGAAAGGACUUUAGGAAGAUAAAUAAGGGCUUAAGCUUAUUUAUAAACAAAAAUUAGAAAAAA
rnacentral:rRNA from 1 species